UGUGGACAUUUAUGUUUAUAUCUAUACUUGUAUGUGUACAAAUGUAUGUUAUGUAUGUGACAGAAGCUAUCUAGGGAAGGUUAUGGCAAGCAAGUGAAUUUCCUGGAGAUAGCCCAAUGGUUUACAUGGCUGAGAUGGGUGCACUCUGGAAAGGUACAGCCCCAGAGACUUCAUCCCAGGACUGCUUCUCACUGCUGAUAUGCCUGCCCUUCCUGCCAUUAUUACAUGGCCUAAUGAUUCAUGGGCAUCAGCCCACCCUAUUGGGAAAAUUUUCUAUGGAUCGACAUGAAGACAAACUUUCAUAAAUUAGUGCUGUUUAGAGGAAUUAAUAACAUUAUAGAAUCCCUGAUUUGAUUCUAAGGAGAUGGUUUUAGUUGUUUUUCCAGAAAGAUGAAAUAAAGUUAGAAUCAAGAAUAGAAUGUGACCCUCCUCAUAAAAUACAAAGUGAAGGUUGCAUAAUAAGGAACACAAUGAGCUUUCAUAAACUGCACUAAGAAGAGAAACAGGCUUGGGACAGAUUUGUGAUCAAGGAAAAACAUUCAUUCUAGGUCAGGUCCAAGAAUGAGGUGUGCACUAUGAUAAAGCAAGGCCAUGUGAAACUGUGGCUUUAUAAUGUGAAACACUGCUUUGAACUUACUAUCAAUAUCCUUUUGUAACCCCCCCCCUUUUGUGAAACAUUUUAUCUAUGAGGUAAUUUUAUAAAGAACUUUGUCUAAGAAGGUAUAAAGACUGAGAAGAAAUAAAGGGUGGCUGUUGGGCCUCUGCUCCUGCUCCAUCCACCGUGUGUGUGUGUGUGUGUGUGUGUGUGUGUGUGUGUGUGUGUGUGUGUAUCUGUGUGUGUAUACAUAUAAACAUAUGUGUAUAUUAUAUAUGUGUGUCUGUAUGUAUGUACAGUAUGCCUAUAUAUUGUCUUUCUGCAUAUAAGUAUGUGAAUACAUACUUAUGUAGGUAUGUGUAUGUAUAUAAGCAUGCAUGUGCACUUGUGAAAUUGAUGAAACAGGUGCUCAGGCUCAGCCAGUGUGUGUGUGUGUGUGUGUGUGUGUGCGUGUGCACACGCGAGUGUGCUUGACUUUCUUUUUUUUUUUACUUUCUCUGUGAAAUUGCCAAAAGUCAUCAGCUUUUGUCCCCAGAACAGUGAGUUAGAUUCUACCUGAGUGAGAUCAUACUUAUCUUUCUGAUUUAUUCCCCUUAGCAUAAAUCCUCUGGAUCUAUCAUAUUGUGACAAAUGACAGUAUUUCCUACUUCUAAAAUUCUGCAUCAAAGAAGGAACCAAAGGCAUCAUGAACUCCAGACAAGCGCUCCCAUUGGCUCCCAGCCCUGAAUAUUUUCUUAUUCAAAGAGAAUAAGACAACAAAACUAAGGCAACGUUGGCCUCAGAGCUUUUUAAUUUCACUUACUGAACUCUGAUUAUAUCCUGAAAUUGAAGGUUUGCUCCAAACUAAUUCACACACCUUUGAUGUUUCACACACUUUUGUAAUUAAAUAAAUCAUGACUAAAACAAGAUCUUUUUCUCCCAAUAGAAAAACAGAGUGGGCAAUAUCUGUGGCUCUCAGGGCCACCCCCACUAGCCCUGGUGUUCUCAUCUGUCCUGGAGAUGCUAAGAGAGGGAACUUAGCAUCUUCAAACUCACUAUUCCAAAUUCAAAUCAAUAUUCUUUGAAGAAGAAAACAUCAACCAGCAGGAGAUGAUCGCUACACUGUGGCAAAGGCUAUCUGCUCACUUGGCUUGUUGGGGGAGCCACUUAAAGAAUCCUCAGCAUCAGAAGGGCAUUUACACCAGAAAAACAAGAUGCAUCCUUUGGAAAAAGCAGGAGUCCACUGCUGCUGUCACAGCUCCCCAAGCACUCUUCAAGAAGCACUUUGU
rnacentral:lncRNA from 1 species